rnacentral:rRNA from 1 species
AUACGGAGGGUGCAAGCGUUAUUCGGAAUCACUGGGCGUAAAGGACGCGUAGGCGGGUUGGCAAGUCAGAUGUGAAAUCCUACAGCUUAACUGUAGCACUGCAUUUGAAACUGCUAACCUAGAGUAUGGGAGGGGGAGAUGGAAUUAGUGGUGUAGGGGUAAAAUCCGUAGAUAUCACUAGGAAUACCGAAAGCGAAGGCGAUCUCCUGGAACAUAACUGACGCUAAGGCGUGAAAGCGUGGGGAGCAAACAGGAUUAGAAACCCCAGUAGUCC